AAUUAUGAUAACGUACGUUGGUCUCAUUCCCUCGACUUAUAUUUGCCCUGUAAUAAUAAGUAAAUCACAAAAAUACUGAACUAGACCAAGAUAUAAUGGCAAGUUGGGAUGAGAAACUUGUUACAGCUGCAAAGGAGGGGAAUUUAAAAGAGGUAGAAUUAUGUGUAAAGAACAGAGCUAACUUGGAAUGGAGAGGAGGUG